rnacentral:rRNA from 1 species
AUUGAACGCUGGCGGCAGGCCUAACACAUGCAAGUCGAACGGUAGCACAGAGAGCUUGCUCUCGGGUGACGAGUGGCGGACGGGUGAGUAAUGUCUGGGAAACUGCCCGAUGGAGGGGGAUAACUACUGGAAACGGUAGCUAAUACCGCAUAACGUCGCAAGACCAAAGUGGGGGACCUUCGGGCCUCACACCAUCGGAUGUUCCCAGGUGGGAUUAGCUAGUAGGUGGGGUAAUGGCUCACCUAGGCGACGAUCCCUAGCUGGUCUGAGAGGAUGACCAGCCACACUGGAACUGAGACACGGUCCAGACUCCUACGGGAGGCAGCAGUGGGGAAUAUUGCACAAUGGGCGCAAGCCUGAUGCAGCCAUGCCGCGUGUAUGAAGAAGGCCUUCGGGUUGUAAAGUACUUUCAGCGGGGAGGAAGGCGGUGGAGUUAAUAACUUCACCGAUUGACGUUACCCGCAGAAGAAGCACCGGCUAACUCCGUGCCAGCAGCCGCGGUAA